GAUGAACGCUGGCGGCGUGCCUAAUACAUGCAAGUCGAGCGAACAGAUGAGGAGCUUGCUCCUCUGACGUUAGCGGCGGACGGGUGAGUAACACGUGGAUAACCUACCUAUAAGACUGGGAUAACUUCGGGAAACCGGAGCUAAUACCGGAUAAUAUAUUGAACCGCAUGGUUCAAUAGUGAAAGACGGUUUUGCUGUCACUUAUAGAUGGAUCCGCGCCGCAUUAGCUAGUUGGUAAGGUAACGGCUUACCAAGGCGACGAUGCGUAGCCGACCUGAGAGGGUGAUCGGCCACACUGGAACUGAGACACGGUCCAGACUCCUGCGGGAGGCAGCAGUAGGGAAUCUUCCGCAAUGGGCGAAAGCUUGACGGAGCAACGCCGCGUGAGUGAUGAAGGUCUUCGGAUCGUAAAACUCUGUUAUUAGGGAAGAACAAAUGUGUAAGUAACUAUGCACGUCUUGACGGUACCUAAUCAGAAAGCCACGGCUAACUACGUG
rnacentral:rRNA from 1 species